GAGGUGCGGACGGAAAGGGAAGA
rnacentral:piRNA from 1 species